AUGCUGCCUAGAACCCUGUCCAUUUAAGAAGACACCCAGGUGAUACGCAAUGCACAAAAAGCACUGGAACUCCCAGCAGAACAAAACCUUUUCCAUCAGCAAAGCAUUUUAGAACCUCAAGCUACACUGUUCCCACCUGCAACUGUCUAAGGUAUUGGAGGUCAAGGACAGUCCAAGGCCAAGUCAAGGACCAUCAGGACACAGAGGAGUAACUUCUGAGGCAGCCCCCGGUGGUAACAUAAAAGCUUAAUAUGCAUCAGACAAGUGCCUUCGCUGUGAGAUGUUGGGGAACCAAGCCCAGUGGGGUGGCUGGCGUCAGCUCAGUGUUCCAGAAAAGCCAAACUGUUCACCACGACUUGCCCUGAUUUUGCCUUCACUGCUAUUCAAAGAGGCCUGAAGCAGUUACUGAAAGCAAUUCCAAGAAAUUGAGUUAA
ensembl:lncRNA novel transcript, antisense to RORA